CAAAACUUGAAAGUCCUUGAAUGUCCUUGAAUUUGAAAACAAAAAUUCAAGGCCUUGAAUGUCCUUGAAUUUGUAAAGAAGUACUUGAAUGUCCUUGAAUUCUUCUUGUUUUAGUUUUUGGAUAUUUUCUGAAAUUGUUUGACAUUCAAGACGGACAUUUUGUUGAACUGAUUUUGCAUGUUCAUACACCCUUUUCAUAAAUGG
rnacentral:lncRNA from 1 species